UACGUAGGGUGCGAGCGUUAAUCGGAAUUACUGGGCGUAAAGCGUGCGUAGACGGUUAUUUAAGUCAGGUGUGAAAGCCCAGGGCUCAACCUUGGAAUUGCAUUUGAGACUGAAUAGCUAGGGUGCGGAAGAGGGAAGCGGAAUUUCCGGUGUAGCGGUGAAAUGCGUAGAUAUCGGAAGGAACACCAGUGGCGAAGGCGGCAUCCUGGACCAACACUGACGCUGAUGAGCGAAAGCCAGGGGAGCAAACGGG
rnacentral:rRNA from 1 species